rnacentral:lncRNA from 1 species
GAUUUGUCAAUUUUUUCGGGGUCCCGAGAGUAGUGGGCAGAGACCCACGGAGUCCCUCACCUUUUGAAUUUUCUUCUUCUCCCUGAACCGGCCAAAACACAGCCGAGAGUCCCCUCCAAAGCCAUUUUUUCUUUUCUUCCUCAGCCUCCCGAAGACCCCACCUCCACCAGACCUCCACUUUACCCAUCGCAGCCACCGAAC